CCUACGUGUGGCUGCAGUGGGGAAUAUUGGACAAUGGGCGAAAGCCUGAUCCAGCCAUGCCGCGUGUGUGAAGAAGGCCUUCGGGUUGUAAAGCACUUUCAGUGGGGAAGAAAGCCUUGGGGCUAAUACCCUCGAGGAAGGACAUCACCAACAGAAGAAGCACCGGCUAACUCCGUGCCAGCAGCCGCGGUAAUACGGAGGGUGCGAGCGUUAAUCGGAAUUACUGGGCGUAAAGCGCGCGUAGGCGGUCUGAUAAGCCGGUUGUGAAAGCCCCGGGCUCAACCUGGGAACGGCAUCCGGAACUGUCAGGCUAGAGUGCAGGAGAGGAAGGUAGAAUUCCCGGUGUAGCGGUGAAAUGCGUAGAGAUCGGGAGGAAUACCAGUGGCGAAGGCGGCCUUCUGGACUGACACUGACGCUGAGGUGCGAAAGCGUGGGUAGCAAACAGGAUUAGAUACCCCUGUAGUC
rnacentral:rRNA from 1 species